AUACUACUCCCUCCGUUCUAAAAUAUUUGUCUUAGAUUUUUCUAAAUAUAAAUGUAUCUAGUCACGUUUUAGUAUUUUGAUACAUUCAUUUUUAAACAAACCUAAAACAAAAAAAUUGGGAUGGAGAGAGUACUUA
rfam:Hordeum vulgare subsp. vulgare, WGS project CAJW01000000 data, contig: morex_contig_1592139